UACGUAGGGUGCGAGCGUUAAUCGGAAUUACUGGGCGUAAAGCGUGCGCAGGCGGUUGUGCAAGACAGAUGUGAAAUCCCCGGGCUUAACCCUGGGAACUGCAUUUGUGACUGCACGGCUGGAGUGCGGCAGAGGGGGAUGGAAUUCCGCGUGUAGCAGUGAAAUGCGUAGAUAUGCGGAGGAACACCGAUGGCGAAGGCAAUCCCCUGGGCCUGCACUGACGCUCAUGCACGAAAGCGUGGGGAGCAAACAGG
rnacentral:rRNA from 1 species